GGAGGGAUGGCCGAGCGGACGAAGGCGCGGCACUCGAAAUGCCGUGAGGCGGUUUCCGUCUCCGUGGGUUCGAAUCCCACUCCCUCCG
rnacentral:tRNA from 1 species